GUGCUCAUUUCAGCAGCACAUAUGCUAAAAUUGGAACGAUACAGAGAAGAUUAGCAUGGCCCCUGUGCAAGGAUGACAUGCAAAUUCAUGAAGCAUUCCAUAUUUUU